UACGUAGGGUGCAAGCGUUGUUCGGAAUUACUGGGCGUAAAGGGUUCGUAGGUGGCUUGCUAAGUCAGACGUGAAAUCCCUCAGCUUAACUGGGGAACUGCGUCUGAGACUGGUGAGCUUGAGUGCAGGAGAGGAACGCGGAAUUCCAGGUGUAGCGGUGAAAUGCGUAGAUAUCUGGAGGAACACCGGUGGCGAAGGCGGCGUUCUGGACUGCUACUGACACUGAGGAACGAAAGCCAGGGGAGCAAACGGG
rnacentral:rRNA from 1 species